CGGAGUCUGCAACCCGACUCCGUGAAGCUGGAUUCGCUAGUAAUCGCGCAUCAGCCAUGGCGCGGUGAAUACGUUCCCGGGCCUUGUACACACCGCCCGUCACACCAUGAGAGUUUGUAACACCCAAAGCCGGUGGGGUAACCUUUUGGAGCCAGCCGUCUAAGGUGGGACAGAUGAUUGGGGUGAAGUCGUAACAAGGUACC
rnacentral:rRNA from 1 species